GACGAACGCUGGCGGCGUGCCUAAUACAUGCAAGUAGAACGCACAGUUUAUACCGUAGCUUGCUACACCAUAGACUGUGAGUUGCGAACGGGUGAGUAACGCGUAGGUAACCUGCCUGGUAGCGGGGGAUAACUAUUGGAAACGAUAGCUAAUACCGCAUAAUAUUGAUUAUUGCAUGAUAAUUGAUUGAAAGAUGCUAUUGCAUCACUACCAGAUGGACCUGCGUUGUAUUAGCUAGUAGGUGAGGUAACGGCUCACCUAGGCGGCGAUACAUAGCCGACCGGCGAUGGUGAGCGGCCAGCCUGGGACUGAGACCCGGCCCAGACGCCUUCGGGAGGCAGCCGUAGGGAAUCUUCGGCAAGGGACGAAAGUCUGACCAAGCAACGCCGCGUGAGUGAAGAAGGUUGUCGGAUCGUAAAGCUCUGUUGUAAGAGAAGAACGGGUGUGAGAGUGGAAAGUUCACACUGUGACGGUAUCUUACCAGAAAGGGACGGCUAACUACGUG
rnacentral:rRNA from 1 species